UCUAACACCAACCUGCUAGAAUAAAGCGCCCAUGUAUGGAAGAGACCUCAGAAGUCUGAGUGGUAUAAGCACAACAGAUGAAUAGAGCAGGGGCACAGGCUUCAGGAAACAUAUCAUCAGAAGAUAGGACAGAAACAAUGUAAGAGCCAAAGGAUGGAGGGGAGGGCUCUGAAGCAUUGACUGCUGAACAUGAAACAACC